rnacentral:sRNA from 1 species
UUUGAUGCACUUGGCAAACAACAUGAAGCCGAGAAGAAAGAGAAGAAGACGGAAUUUAAAACAACGAAGAAAAAAGUCGUUAAAAAAGAUAAGCAAGAGGAUAAGCAGACAGCGAAUAGCAAAGAGGAUAUUAAAAAGUCAUCACCACUAUUAAUUGGUGACUCGGUCAUGGUGGAUAUUGGUAAUGUCUUUACUAAGAAAAUACCAAAUGCACAAAUUGAUGGUAAAGUUGGACGGCAACUCGUUGAUGCUACACCAAUUGUGAAAUCGCAAUAUAAAGACUAUGCUAAAAA